rnacentral:rRNA from 1 species
UACGAAGGGGGCUAGCGUUGCUCGGAAUCACUGGGCGUAAAGCGCACGUAGGCGGCUUCUUAAGUCAGGGGUGAAAUCCUGGAGCUCAACUCCAGAACUGCCCUUGAUACUGAGGAGCUCGAGUCCGGAAGAGGUGAGUGGAACUGCGAGUGUAGAGGUGAAAUUCGUAGAUAUUCGCAAGAACACCAGUGGCGAAGGCGGCUCACUGGUCCGGUACUGACGCUGAGGUGCGAAAGCGUGGGGAGCA